ensembl:lncRNA
UGAUGAAAAAUACAGGCCUCUCUCAUCUUUUUAAGUGGGAGAACUUGCACAAAUGGUGGCUGACUAAAUACUUUUUUUGCCCCACUGUAUGUAACAGAGCUGUGCAACACUUUAUUUGAUUAUUUUGUUUUGUUAGAAUGUUAGGAGUCUUAAUUGAAAGCAUUGUGGACGUUAUGUUGUAUGGGUUCAGCAUAACAAAGCAGUGGACUUCCCUUUUGGAACUGUGCAUUCAGGCUUUUGCUCUAGCCCUGCUCUAAAUACACCUGAUUCAUCAAAUCUAGGCCACCCCUGCCCAGGAAUCUACCUAGCAUAAACCAGGAAGCUGUAGACAGGAAGCUAUCUGAUCGCCAUGCAGCCUACACCAGUACAGUACCCCCACCAGUACUGAUGGGGAAAGCCAUGCUUGCAGUGUUCCCAUCACACCUCUUUAUAAAGCAUCAGAGUGUUUCAUGAAAUGGCUCAAAGUCAGAACACUUGAACAUUCACUUCAACACUGCUCUCAUUACGCAAUACCAACGUCAGAAUCACUGAGAAAACAACAACAGGUAUGUCUGUAUGUCUGCAGAUGAUAAAACCACAAAACAAUAUGUACCAAAACAGUUUGAUAAUUUUGGAUAAUCCAAAACAAACGAAGUAAACACAGUCAAAAAUAGCUGAGGAGAUUUAGAUGUCAUGCGUGAUGAACAGACAGAUAUCGAGGUGCCAUCUUCCUCUGCCAGUAACCCUGUGCUCUGUUCCAUGCCACUUCUUUGCCAAUAUUGACUUACUAAUCCUAUAGUUGUGACAGCCAAGGCUCCUGGCCCCACUUGACCUGCAGAGAGAAAAUUGGAGGUUGGUCUACAGAGCAUGGAGCUGGAGUGUGACCAGAGGACAACCAACAUCUUGUCUUUUUAACCCCUAACCAACUUCUCUCAGUUACUCUGAUCAUAUCACCACUAAAACUUACUUGCCCAUGUGGACACAGACAAGUAUACAAAGUGUGUCACAGUUGGCAAGACUGCCAAGGUAGUGGGUUCAAUUCCCAUAGGGAUCACAUACAGUUGGUGAGGGCAUACAUUUUUUGUAAGUGGCUUUGGAUAUAGGUAUCUAGAACAUGUACAGGUUUGGAGAACCCUUUUUGGUUCUAGUGUCACGUAUUCUCAAGGUGGGUGGAAUCAGGCGCAGAGAGCAGGUGAAGUGAUUCGACAGUUUAAUUCUCCGGCAAUCCAAACAACACGGUCAACCCAACAUACAGGGUGAAUAAUCCAACACAGGAUCAAAAAUAGACCGGAGGAAUAACACACACGUACUCCACCAAAAUACAUGAAAUACAAACAAUCCCGCACAAAACAAGGGCGGGACAACCUAAUACAUAUAAGGACGUUAAUUAAACUCAAAUACACACAGGUGAAACUAAUAAGACAAAACCAACAGACAAAGGAAAAAGGGAUCGGUGGUGGCUAGUAGGACGGUGACGACGACCGCCGAGCACCGCCCGAACAGGCAGGAGAGCCAACUUCGGCAGAAGUUGUGACAUCUAGGUAGAACCCUUUUGCUUCCAUGCAGAACCUUUUACACAGAGGGCUCAAGAUGGAACCCAAAAGGAGCCCUUUUUUCCUUUUUACUUAAGUUGCGUUUACACAGGCAGCACAAUUCUGAUAUCUUUUUUCAUUAAUCUGUCUUCAGACCAAUCACAUCAGAUCUUUUUCAGAGUUGAUCUGAUUGUUCAAAAGACCAAUUAGUGGAAAAAAAUAUCAGAAUUGGGCUUCUUCUGUAAAUGCAGUCAGAGAUACACAAAGACACACAGACACAAACAUUGUCUGGUCCAAUGACGUAAUGGGAUUCUGGCUAACAAAAGGCCAGUCUCCAUGGUGGCAGAGAGCACACGUGGUGAAACGAUGCAAACACACAGAAUAGAAUGGCCCCUGAUCCCUUAGUGGGUCCAGAGACUAACGUACUGCUCUGCAACCAUACUGCAUGGCACAACAAGAGAGAGAUAAAUAGAGAGUGAGUGUGGCACACCAAGCGAGUGCACUGUGUGUGUUGGCUGGGCUCCCUGCUUGUGCCAUCAAACCAUUGCAACAUAUCCAGAAUGCCACAGUUCGCCUGAGGUUCAACCAAGUUCUCCCAUGUCUCCCCGCUCCUCCACACACUCCACUGGCUUCCAGUCGAAGCUCGCAUCCACUACAAGACCACGGUGCUUGCCUACGGAGCCAGCAAGCAGGUAGCCUAGCGGUUAGAGCAUUGGACUAGUAACCGAAAGGUUGCAAGAUCAAAUCCCUGAGCUGACAAGGUAAAAAUCUGUUGUUCUGGCCCUGAACAAGGCAGUUAACCCACUGUUCCUAGACCGUCAUUGAAAAUAAGAAUUUGUUCUUAACUGACUUGCCUAGUUAAAUAAAGGUAAAAUAAAUUAAAACAUAAGAACUGCCCCUUCCUACUUUCAGGCUAUGCUCAAACCCUACACCCCAACUGGAGUACUCUGUUCUGCCACCUUUGGUCUCUUGGCUCUCCCACCCUGGAGGGAGGGCAGCUCCCGCUCAGCCUUCAAAGCUUGCCCCUGAAGCUAGCACAGCAGAGUCCCUGCCCAUCUUCAGAAAACAUCCGAGACCCUAACUCUUAAAAGAGUAUCUUAAAUAAUCCCACAGCACGCCCCCUCGCAAAUGUGUGCGUGCCUGUGUGUGUGGAACAGCAAGUGUGUGUCGCACAGUGUGUCUAUGUGUUGCCUUGUCCAAGCCAUGGGAACACAGAGAAAAGAGCUUAAACUUGCUGACAGCGCAGCAGCAAUUCUUCUCCCUCUGUUGUCUGUCUGCUUGGACCCAGCCCAGCACACCACACACAGAGCUCUAAAAAAAAUCAAAGGAGGUCAUUGUCAAAACGAGCUAUUAAGCAGAACAGACUGUGCAAGCCAAGUCGGGGGACUGCAUUUAGCAAGAGCCCCUGUGUUUCACCAGCUAUGGAAUUGUAUUUGGCAAAAUGGAGGUCUCGGGGGUGAUAGACUAGAGAAAGGCACCGAGCGCUGUGGACAGCGAUUGAGAUCGGAGUGCCGUACAGUGUUAUGUAACAAGAUUGGAACCAGUUUCCCAUGGACCAGGCAGCAAGAGACUGCUGAUGCCAGUGGUCUAGCAUUAGUAACCACUCCACUGAGGCAUAGAGCUGAAUAGGGCACUGUAAUUAGUCAGGGAUCCUUAUACCUAAGUGGAUGGAUAGAGACGGUCACAGAUCCCCCCAGUAUUGCUGCUCAUUCUGUUCACCAGUUCCGGAGGUCGACAUCACCGGCCUUCUAGGCUGCACUGUACUGUGUCAUUACGCACACCUGGUUCCAAUUCCUCACUGAUUGUAUUUGUAUAAAUGUGCUCUUUGUUUCCCCAUUGGACUGUCAAUUAUUGUUCCCAUGUCUGUUGGUGGCGUGAGUACCUAUGCGUUGUCUCAGCCUGUGUUGCGUGUUUUGUGCAUUGUGUAUUACGGGUCCCGUGGCGUUCUACGAGGUUGACCCUCGCUCUUUUGUUUGGGUACAUCCCAGUGUUUUGUAUACAUGUUUGUUUUGGGUGUAUUAAAACCCCGGAUUAUGUAUUCCUGCGCCUGUCUCCAAAUAAUUUAUACCAACGUGACAGAGACGCAUACAGUGUCUAGAGAAAGCCCACAACUGAGGCAGGCCUCAAAGUGACAAUACACAGAGAUGAUAGAAAAGCUGAGGAAGAUAUCUUUUUCAGUUUCUUCAUUGCUCCCUGGCAGGUCAAUACAGUAUAUGUGUGAUCAAAAUGCACUAUGCCGAACUGAACUUUUAUGCAAUUACGUUCAUUCUGGACUGCAUGGUUCCAUGGGUGCUGACUGAGCACAGGGCCAGCAGGAUAUGAACCUUGACCUUUGUCCAGUUUGACUUGGCUGGGAUGAUGUGGUCGACAGACAAACACCAAGGACCAAUGCCAACACAGCUUUCUGUGUCAAAGGGUGUCGGUCAACAGUAGACCCAAUUUCUAUUGGCAGGCUUUUACUGCUUAACUAUUACGAUCAGCUAAUUCCUAGAUCACCAUCGUAUCUUUUACAAUAAUUCACUUUGGUAACGCUUUACUUGACACCCAGUGUCAUAACACGUUAUUAUGACACGUCAUAACUGUAUCAUAAUACAAGCAUUUCACUUGAUUUGAUAUUUCUACAGCUGACAUAACUUGUCAUAACAUGAUCAUAACACUGUCAUGACACAUGUAUUUAUAGUAGUUGUGACAAUAUGGCGUUAUUUUAUGGCUGGUUUUGACACCUACAUAAGAGUUUAAAACCUACCACACAAGGCAAAACAUUCCAUUACUUGAAAAUAAAAGAGAGCCACACACUCCAGGAGCUCAGAUGCAAAAAUGUAAUUACCAACGUUUCGACAGCUUGGCUGUCCCUGAUGAAGACAGCUUGGCUGUCCCUGAUGAAGACAGCUUGGCUGUCCCUGAUGAAGACAGCUUGGCUGUCCCUGAUGAAGACAGCUUGGCUGUCGAAACGUUGGUAAUUACAUUUUUGCAUCUGAGCUCCUAGAUGGUGCGGCUCUCUUUUAUUUUCAAGUUUUCUACUCCACUAGCCAACACCUCGUCUUAAUAGGUGUGUGUUUCUUUUUCUUCUAUUACAUUCCAUUACACCAUAGCCUACUGGUCAGUAUGUUUAUGUUAUAUAGCAUUUUCAGAAAUGGACCAUAUUAAAUUAUCAUUGUAAUUGUGCACACAUUGAUGUCAGACCUGCAGCUACCUCACUGCUCUGCUUCUGAUGACUGGGAUGAAUGCAGAUUUCAGGAUUAGGACAAAACACCCUCUUUUUGACUGAUGACUGACAUAAGGCCAUGUACGUGAUAGGCCUGGGUGGAUUAUGUGUUUCUGAUGACUGACAUAAGGCCAUGUACGGGAUAGGCCUGGGUGGAUUAUGUGUUUCUGAUGACUGACAUAAGGCCAUGUACGUGAUAGGCCUGGGUGGAUUAUGUGUUUCUGAUGACUGACAUAAGGCCAUGUACGGGAUAGGCCUGGGUGGAUUAUGUGUUUCUGAUGACUGACAUAAGGCCAUGUACGGGAUAGGCCUGGGUGGAUUAUGUGUUUCUGAUGACUGACAUGACUGACAUAAGGCCAUGUACGGGAUAGGCCUGGGUGGAUUAUGUGUUUCUGAUGACUGACAUAAGCCCAUGUACGGGAUAGGCCUGGGUGGAUUAUGUGAUUCUGAUGGUCAUAAUGCUUCUUAAGUGUCAUAAAGUGCAUUUUCUUAGUCUAAGUAAUUAUGAUGAAAAAAACGACAGUAAAAAAUGUAUUACAACAAAGGACUUAAGAAACCAACUUUCAGGGAAAAAAGUCAAGCAAUGUCUUACCAAUUAUUUGGUCUCAAAAUCAUCCUAACUGGACGGUUCCAAAGUUUAUUUAGACAACCAAAAGGAUAUUUAGAUAUGAACAAAAGUUAUUUUGCAUUAACUUUACAUUGUUCAGUCAGAAGGUAACAGCAAAUACACAACAGAAUAUACUUUACAGAACAGAGUUAUAAUCGCCAGGGGUAUCAGUUAACUUUUCCUUUGCGGGAGACAAUAUUGGGAGACAGUCCAAUGCGUGGCCUACUUCCCUGUCUCCACGAAUGGUCAGUCAAUACCACACUAUGGGGGCUGAAACAUUGGACCUUUAGACUGGUCUGUUCGGAUUGGUCAAGGCACCAAUCACCUGGAUGACCAGGUAAAACCCUUGACCAAUCAGCAAGUAGAAAGGUGGGCAAACAUGGCCGGCUGACAGAGGGGCUAUGGCGUGAUUCUAGAGUGGCUGGGGCAGUGUGUGUAAGUUCCACACAGCACUGGGGAGUCCAAAGGGACCCUUUUUGUUUGAAUAACACAGAAAGAAAAAAGUACAAACAGGAAAAAGUAAACUAUACUGUGUUCUUUGGACACUGUGUUAACUAACCUCCAGACAAGCUUCAAUGCCAUUACAACUCUCCUUCUAUGGCCUCCAACUGCUUUUAAAUGCAAGUAAAACUAAAUGCAUGCUCGCCCGUCCAGCAUCACUACUCUGGACGGUUCUGGACAAUUACAAAUACCUAAGUGUCUGGUUAGACUGUAAACUCUCCUUCCAGACUCAAAAUAAGCAUCUCCAAUCCAAAAUUAAAUCUAGAAUCGGCUGCCUAUGUUGCAAGAAAGCAUCCUUCACUCAUGCUGCCAAACAUACCCUCGCAAAACUGACUAUCCUACCAAUCCUCGACUUCGGCGAUGUCAUUUACAAAAUAGCCUCCAACACUCUAUUCAGCUAAUUGGAUGCAGUCUAUCACAGGGCCAUCCGUUUUUUCACCAAAGCUCCAUAUACUACCCACCACUGCGACCUGUAUGCUCUCGUUGGCUGGCCCUUGCUACAUAUUCGUUGCUAAACCCACUGGCUCCAAGUCAUCUAUAAGUUUUUGCUAGGUAAAGCCCCUUAUCUCAGCUCACUGGACACCAUAGCAGCACCCACCCGUAGCACGCGCUCCAGCAGGUAUAUUUCACUGGUCAUCCCCAAAGCCAAUUCCUCCUUUGGCUGCCUUUCCUUACAGUUCUCUGCUGCCAAUGACUGGAACGAAUUGUAAAAAUCACUGAAGCUGGAGACUCAUAUCUCCCUCACUAACUUUAAGCAUCAGCUGUCAGAGCAGCUCACAGAUCAUUGCACCUGUAAACAGCCCAUCUGUAAAUAGCCCAUCCAACUACUUUGUACCCCAGUAUCUCUACAUGCACAUUCAUCUUCUGCACAUCUAUUAGUCCAGUGUUUAAUUGCUAAAUUGUAAUUACUUCGCCACUAUGGCCUAUUUAUUGCCUUACCUCCCUAAUCUUACCUGAUUUGCACACACUGUAUAUUAAUUUUUUCUAUUGUGUUAUUGACUUUACAUUUGUUUAUUACAUGUGUAACUCUGUGUUGUUGUUUGUGUUGCACUGCUUUACUUUAUCUUGGCCAUGUCGCAAUUGUAAAUGAGAACUUGUUCUUUAACUGGCCUACCUGGUUAAAUAAAGGUGAAAUAAAAUAAAUAAAUAGGAAUUUGGACAAUGAGAAAAGAAAAUAGUACAAGUCAACUUAUUUCAGCUUGUUGGUCAAUUUGUUUUUGUGCUAACUAAGCACUAUAUUUCCUCGACCAAGGAAUUUUUGUUUGCCACUUACAUUAAACGAGAGACUAUCUACUUUUACCUUUAGUCUCUUUCACCUGAUGUGGGUAAAAGUCAUCAAACAUAAUCAGCGAUCUACCCAAUGGACUCAUGCAAAAUCUGAGUGCAUUUCUCUAGUCUGCAGGAUUCAGGUUUGGAGUACACCAUGAUGAGAUGAUCAGAUACUGAAGUCUAAAGAGAUGCAUGUUCAAGGGCAGAAGCAUAGCCUGGAUACUCCUGAGAUAUGACCAAUGACUGUAUGGCAGGGACCCAAACUGGACUGUUAAAAACACCAGGAAAUCAGCUCCAAGUGAUUACAACUUUGGAAAUUUGUUAAAGUAUUCUCACGCAUAAUAGAGAUAUCACGUUUCAGGCAUGACCCAGAUGCAGACAGUGUCCCGGGUGGACAGCCAUACCUUCUGCCCGAGAUGAUACCGGGGAGCCGGGGUCCGGUGGCGAUCUGCUUGUCGUCGAUACCUGGAGGUGGUCUUGAGGAAGGCUUACCGGGCUCUCCUCCAGAUAUGACGACAGCGGAGGACAAACAUCUGGGCAGAUGGUAUGCCGACCUCUUCUUCCUGCUCAGGAAAGAGUGGGGGCUGAUACCCCAGUGAACACUCAAAAGGUGAUAGGCCCGUGGCAGAGCAGGGAAGGAUGUUGCGGACGUAUACAACCCACACAAGCCGUUGGCUCCAGGUGGUGGGGUUGGCGGAGACCAGGCAGCGCAGAGUAGUCUCUAGGUCCUGGUUGGCUCACUCCAACUGGCCGUUGGACUGGGGAUGGAACCCGGAGGAGAGGCUGGCCAAUGACCCAAUGAGGGUGCAGAACGCCUUCCAGACCUGGGACGAGAACUGAGGACCCCGGUUGGAGACCAUGUCUACCGGUAGUCCAUGGAUCUGGAAGACGUGCUGCACCAUGAGAUGGGCCGUCUCUUUGGCAGAGGGUAGCUUGGGGAGAGGAAUGAGGUGAGCUGCUUUGGAAAACUGAUCCACAA